AAUGAUCAGACCCCCUUUAUAUAGUAGGGGAGUCCUACCUUUGGUACAAUUCUAAAUACAUUAAGAAAUCCCAUGAUUAGCUAAUUAAUCGGCCUCUUCUUGAUACGUGCCGAGAUUUCUGCCGUGAUCCUCGCCCGAGCGGAUAUUUAGACUUUUCGUUAUAUGGCUCGGUAAACUUUUCUCGAUCUUGCUCGAUCUCUAUCCUGCCUGGUUUCAAUCUUGGGCACCCUCGAUCUCGAUCGAUCUCUGGGUCUCGAGCUCGGCAAUCUAACUUUACACCGCGGUGCGAUAUAACAUGGAGUCGAAACUUGGCCUGCCUCAUUCUAGGACAAACCCG
rnacentral:lncRNA from 1 species